UGGGGACUGGCGCAAUGGUAGCGCGUUGGACUUCGAAUCCAAAGGUUGCGAGUUCGAGUCUCGCGUUCCUCG
rnacentral:tRNA from 1 species